rnacentral:rRNA from 1 species
AACGAACGCUGGCGGCAGGCUUAACAUAUGCAAGUCGAACGCCCCGCAAGGGGAGUGGCAGACGGGUGAGUAACGCGUGGGAAUCUACCGUACCCUACGGAACAACAGUUGGAAACGACUGCUAAUACCGUAUACGCCCUUAGGGGGAAAGAUUUAUCGGGGUAUGAUGAGCCCGCGUUGGAUUAGCUAGUUGGUGGAGUAAAGGCCUACCAAGGCGACGAUCCAUAGCUGGUCUGAGAGGAUGAUCAGCCACAUUGGGACUGAGACACGGCCCAAACUCCUACGGGAGGCAGCAGUGGGGAAUAUUGGACAAUGGGCGCAAGCCUGAUCCAGCCAUGCCGCGUGAGUGAUGAAGGUCUUAGGAUUGUAAAGCUCUUUCACCGAUGAAGAUAAUGACGGUAGUCGGAGAAGAAGCCCCGGCUAACUUCGUGCCAGCCGCCGCCGUAA